GCCCGGAUAGCCCAACCGGCAGGAGGCCCGCCGCUUAGGACGGCGACAGUGCGCGUUCGAAUCGCGCUCCGGGCAC
rnacentral:tRNA from 1 species